AUAAGUUCUCCCUUCUCUCUCUUACUCUAAAAACUAUCUUAAUCUCUCUCCCUCACCCUUUUCACCAUAGUAAGUACCAGACCAAAGUUCCCAAAGAAAAUCACACCCGACGCCUCCUAGAUUUAACCACCACUCCAACACCCUCAAAUCAAAAAGAAAAGGUAAGAUGACAUUGUCCCCAACAGAAAAAACCCCGUCGAACCUGCCCCCAAAUCUCCAUCCCCAACAAAAAUUGAGCAAAUAAAAAAUGUGAUCGGGAGAGAAACUUUAGACACGGUGGAGGUUGAGUAGCCGAAGAAGGAACCCGCCAAAUGAAAGUGGUACAUGAAGGUACCAACUAAGAAAGAGAAAGGUAAAGAGCACACUACCACUAAAUCAGAGUCGGAAUCCUCUUCCAUUGGAAAGAGUCCUGAGAAAGUUGUGGCCUCGCCUCCAGCCCUAGUGCAGGAGGAAGAGAAGAGCAGGAGGCCGGCAAGGAAGAAAUAGCCGUGGAGGAGGCAGAUGCUUAAGCGGAUGAGGCUGGGCAGGAAGAGGAAGUUGGGCAAGAUGAAGAGCAAGCGGAUGAGAAGGAAUUGACAGAAACCACUGAGACGGAGACCGAUACCAAGACAUCAUCAUUGGCGCAGUUGAACAGGAAAAUGAGGGGUGAUACCCCAGGUAGAUCGAGGUAGCGACAAAGAAGAAGGAAGUUCAGCCGUACAUGGGGCCGAAGAGUACCCAUUUUGUGGGCCUUCCGACGAGAGCUAUCGUCAACCCCAAAAUUAUGGACUUUGCGGUUUUGAAAGCCUUAAGUGUGGAGAUGGAAGUGAGAAAGUAUUUCAGAGCAAUUGGGUGGGGGACAUUUUUGGAAUGGCCUGGGAAAAUCUAUGGCAACUUGACGCAGGAGUUCAUCCAGACUUUCAAUGUAAAACAUCUAGGCAAGCAGGCGCUCGGGAUGGAGAUCAUUAAGUUCAAGCCGAUGAAGCAGGGUUACACCAUCUCGAUAAAUGAUCUCAACUAGUUUUUGGGCAUGACGACCCUCAUCGAGCUCAAGAUAGAGGAGUAUAAGCGGGCAGUGCAAGGCACCCUGGAGUAGAACGCUGCACAGUGGGCUGAGAAGUGAAAAAUGGUUGGGAGAGAAAGUGAGUUCAAGUCGGGAGCAACAAAAGCCUAUAAGCUAAAGAGCAGCGCCUUGAGAAUUUGCCAUCGAAUUCUUGCCUAUAAUUUCUUUGGCAAGAAGGUCAGUAGCAAUUCUAUUGCCCAAUAACAACUCUACCUACUCUGGUGUAUGGUCAUUGGCAAGAAGGUAAACUUUGGGGUAUAUGUUGUGAAUCACUUUAAGGAUAUCACAGGACAUGCUAAACAGAGGAUCUCCUCUUGGCUCAUUGGUCACCACCUUGGCCAAGAGCUUGGGCAUCCUGAAUGAGCUGACAACAGAAAUGGUCAGUAUUCAGGAGGAAUACUUGGACCUACUUUGCCUUUAGAGGAUACAAAAAAUGGAGUGAGAUGACCAAAAUGAGUCCCUUAAGUUAGUUUGGCCAGUGCAGGAUGAGUCCCUGGCCGCGAUGAAGUCAUCUUCUUCAUCAAAGCUUGCAAGAUAGAUGAGUGUCCCGCCCGAGACAGGAUAAUCUGAGGUGAUGGAAUGCCUAGCUCGUAUCGAGGAUAAUCAAGUUGCCAUUAAAGAGAAAUUGGAUGCCACCUACAACACCCUCAUUGCCUUCUUCGAGAGUAUUGGAUUCAGAUUUUGCAUAAUUAUUCAGGUGAAUUCGAGCAGAACAAAUUCAUGAUGAGAAAAUUCUUAAACCCUAGUAGCAGCGACGGCGCCGGUGAGGGAGAAAGGAAGAGAGAAGAAAGGGAAGUCGGCGGCGUGAGGGAGAAAGGAAGAGAGUGAAGAUUACUUAAUAAUUUAAAUUUAAUUUAAACAACACUAAUUUGUUGUUUCCCUUAAUUAAUUAUACUUUUCUUAAUUUUUAUGCCGAAAA